rnacentral:rRNA from 1 species
AACGCUGGCGGCGGCCUACACAUGCAAGUCGAGCGGGCAUCGCAAGAUGUCAGCGGCAGACGGGAGAGUAACACGUGGGAACGUGCCCUUCAGUUCGGAACAACCCAGGGAAACUUGGGCUGAUACCGGAUACGUCCGUAAGGAGAAAGAUUUUAUCGCUGAAGGAUCGGCCCGCGUCUGAUUAGCUAGUUGGUGGGGUAAUGGCCCACCAAGGCGACGAUCAGUAGCUGGUCUGAGAGGAUGAUCAGCCUCACUGGGACUGAGACACGGCCCAGACUCCUACGGGAGGCAGCAGUGGGGAAUAUUGGACAAUGGGCGCAAGCCUGAUCCAGCCAUGCCGCGUGGGUGAUGAAGGCCCUAGGGUUGUAAAGCCCUUUCGGCGGGGAAGAUAAUGACGGUACCCGCAGAAGAAGCCCCGGCUAACUUCGUGCCAGCAGCCGCGGUAAUACGAAGGGGGCUAGCGUUGCUCGGAAUCACUGGGCGUAAAGCGCACGUAGGCGGCUUCUUAAGUCAGAGGUGAAAUCCUGGAGCUCAACUCCAGAACUGCCUUUGAUACUGUGGGGCUGGA